CCCUUAGAUGUUCUGGGCUGCACGCGCGCUACACUGAAGUGUUCAACGAGUAUUCACCUUGCCCGGGAGGGUUGGGUAAUCUUUUGAAAACGCUUCGUGAUGGGGAUAGAUUAUUGCAAUUAUUAAUCUUCAACGAGGAAUUCCUAGUAAGCGCGAGUCAUCAGCUCGUGCUGAUUACGUCCCUGCCCUUUGUACACACCGCCCGUCGCUCCUACCGAUUGAGUGGUCCGGUGAAUAAUUCGGACUGCAGCACUGCUUGGUCUCCAGGCUUUGCAGCGGAAAGUUUAGUGAACCUUAUCACUUAGAGGAAGGAGAAGUCGUAACA
rnacentral:rRNA from 1 species